rnacentral:rRNA from 1 species
GACGAACGCUGGCGGCGUGCUUAACACAUGCAAGUGGAGCGACGAAACGGGCUUCGGCCCGUGGCAAAGCCGCGAACGGGUGAGUAACACGUGGGUAACCUGCCCCGAUGACCGGGACAACCCGGGGAAACCCGGGCUAAUACCGGAUGUGGUCCUUCCACACGAGUGGAAGUACCAAAGGUAGCUUCGGCCUCCGCAUCGGGAUGGGCCCGCGGCGCAUUAGCUUGUUGGUGGGGUAAUGGCCUACCAAGGCGACGAUGCGUAGCUGGUCUGAGAGGACGAUCAGCCACACUGGGACUGAGACACGGCCCAGACUCCUACGGGAGGCAGCAGUGGGGAAUCUUGCGCAAUGCGCGAAAGCGUGACGCAGCAACGCCGCGUGGGGAAGAAGGCCUU